CCGUGAGGGAAAGUUGAAAAGAACUUUGAAGAGAGAGUUCAAAAGGGCGUGAAACCGCUUAGAAUAAAACGGACGGAACCGUCUGAGGCCCAUCGGAAUCAGUCGAAUCGACGCGUGAAAGCGAGCGCGACGCGAAACGGAACGAAAGUCCCGUCGUCUCGUAGGAAAGAGUAGCGCUCGUUCGACGCAUUUCCGAAGGGUGAGCGUCGCGACCGGCGCGAACGGUUGGCGAAGCCGUCGGAUUGAGGGCGAGCUCGUUCGCGAGUCUCGUAACCAGUCCGUCGGUACGGAUAGAAUUCGCUAAACCUAAGCACCGGGAGAAAAGGAAUCGAGUGUCGGCGAUAAGCGCUCGCCUGUCACGACGGAAGUGCGGCCGGCCGAUCGUCUCCUGCUCGCAGGUUACGGUCAGCGCUCGGUUCGUAUCGGAAGUCGUCGGCGACAUUACGACACUCGGGCGUCCGCGACGUCCGAGUCGGUCACCCGUCCGACCCGUCUUGAAACACGGACCAAGGAGUCUAACGUAAGCGCGAGCUAAUGGGCGGAAAACCCAUAAGCGAAAUAAAAGUAAAAGUCGUCUCGGACGACUGAGGUACGAUCCCGCAGGACGAAAGUAUCCUCGGGCGCAGUACCGUCCCGUCCCGACCGCACGUCGGUAGGGCGGAGAUAGAGUGCCUACGUUGGGACCCGAAAGAUGGUGAACUAUGCCUGAGCAGAGCGAAGCCAGAGGAAACUCUGGUGGAGGUUCGUAGCGGUUCUGACGUGCAAAUC
rnacentral:rRNA from 1 species